GGCUCAACAGAUUUUACAAGAUAUGACAUAAACGACAAAGAAUUUCUAGCAGUGGCUCUCUGCAGACAGAUUUAUGGAAGAUCGAGGGCUUGAGGAUUAAACUCUCUGUUGGCUGGGGUGAGACAACCUGAUUAUUCUGUCCAGCUGGAAAAGAGACUAGUAGCAAAGUCUGUCUCAAGAAAAUCAAUCUAUUUAAAUGGUGCAAUGCUGUCUUCAGCUGGCAGUGCCGGAUUGACACUGAACAUAAACACUCACGGGUUGUGGCUUGCAUUGAUAUCCUUAAGAGUACAACAAGAGGCAUGAGGAAAAUGGUACGAGGUGUUAAAUUCAUCACCUCAGAAACUGAACAAAGUGAACAAAAAGUAAAUUGAAGUAAAUUGACUUUGUAUAGUAGGGAGCUAUGCAGCUAUAGGCCAUCAGCAAGAUGCAUCCAAUAUGUGAAAUGAAGGUUAAUGUUCCAUUUAACCCAACUAAAUAUUUUUGAUAUGAAAGUAAACUGAGAGAAAUAUACCUCAGAAAUUCUUACUGCUAAAAUUGUGCUUUAUAUUCCUUACACUGAUGGAUUUUAUUUUGCAUUUUCACUGAAAAUCAUGCAGCCAAACAGAUCUCUGCUGGCAUCUAGAAGGUUCGUGUGGAGAAGCAAGGAGCUGGAAUCACAGUAUGGGAAAAAUUAUGGGACAGUCUGGCCCGUGGUGUGUUUCCAUUUGGCCAGCUGCCUUUACAGCAUAGAAGAUGAAGAAGUGCAGAUUGAUGGAAGAGCUGAACUUCUUUUGGGAUGCAGCAGUCCAUGAGCCCUGGCAUUUUGUAUACUCAGAGCAAGGUCAAGCUCAGCAGUUUCCACCUUGGUGUUGUUACAUCACUGCAGCAGGGAUAAAAAAAAUGGAUAUCAUGUGGUUACCACAGCAGCUCUCUGGUUUUGCAGUGCUGCCACCCUUUCAUCACAUUUCACCUCUGCCACCUUCUUGUAACCAUCUCUUGGUCUCAAGAAGGUGCUGCACAUCAUCAUCUCUCCACACCAGACCACUUGACUGCAGGUUCCUACUGAGGAGGAAAACUGGAAGUUCAACAAGAACAAGUGAAAGAAGUACUGAAAAAAACAUCCUUGGUAAAACCUGUUGGUCACUUUUAGGUUUUUCAGCUGUUCUUAUGCAAAGCUGCAGCAUUUGCUAGAGCAUGCUGGGGAGCUGUGUGCAGGAGAAAGGUCAGGAAUAAUUGUGAGGGUUGUCACCCACAGAGUUACUAAGGUUCCCAUGAAAUAUUUUGUUUUGCAGACAGCUGUUUCCUGACAUAAACUGGGCACAAUCCUUGUUAGCCCACUGCUCUACCACAAAUUUAAUUUGGAGACUUAUGAAAUACCUCAGCAAGAUGAGAAAACUAAAUCAUUAAAAAAUAGGUUUUUAAUGAUAAAUUUAUAUUUUUGCAACAUAAGGACACAGAACAAGAACUCAGGAUGCAUUUUGACUAUGGACCUUGUGAAAAGUGGUAAAAACAAUGCAAAUUACCUAAAAUGUUACAGUGGUGUCUCAAUUGCUAGUACAGGGCUUACUUUCACUAUAUAUCAGGCCCUUUACUCUUCUCAGAAAUUCAAAGGGUCUUGGGAGUGUAAUGAAGAGGCUGUAUCUCAUUGUUGUAGCUGAAUUUUUGACUAAGAAGUAAGCACGGUCUCAGUGCAGACCCUUAUCCAUAGGCUUACAGCUACCAUUGUCUUUUCGCAUUUAUUAAGUAAGUAUAAAUCAGUCACAUGAAAGAUUCUGCCCCAGAGCCUGCUUAUUUGGGCACCCUCUUUCAGUGUGGCAUCUGACCCACUAAGUUUUCAGAACUAUAUAGAGCAGUAAUACUCUCACUCAACCCUUCAUCUACUCAAGGGAACACAGUUGCUUCAACAGUUAUGUUGCUGUUUGAGUUCUUGUUGGGGUAAGUUCCUAGCUGUGCACGGUCCCUGAAGAGUUUCCAGUCCUCCCUAGGAAGUGGUGCCCUGAUUCACUGGUGUUUCCACAGAAAAGUAGAUGUCCUUGGACAGCCAUUAGUGUGGAGGGAAAGAACUGCUAAUGAGAGUGAAACCCAGGGAGGGCUUUAAGCAUCAAGAUAAUAUUCAGUCUAUUCAGUGCAGUGCAGGGAGAAAGUGCAGAGGAUGGAAACCUUAGGAGGCUCCUGUUGUGACAUUGCUGCUACCUCAACUGUUUAAAAAAACCCCAACAAACAGAUUUUUAGGGAUAGAGCUAUGACAGGAAAGCUUAUGGGGGAGUAAAAAGCUUUCCUCACUAAGUAUGUGGUCUCGUAUAGUAUCCAAUGCCAUUUCAGAUGCAAAUCACAGGGUUUUAUGCUGUCAUUAAAUAAAAUUCCAGAAGCAUGAGGAGCACUGAGAGCCUGAAGAGAUACUUAGCAACCUGAGGAUGGAUGUCCAAAUAUUAGCUGAUACUGUGGAAAAUAUUUGUUUUGCUUGAAAUGUAUCUCAUGAGCAUCUGAUGAGAUGAUCUUCUCUAUAGUCAACAGUUUUAGCUGCUUUCCUUCCAGUUAUAUACUGAAAGAUAUAAAAAAUGACAUUGUGAUGUGAAACAGACAGAAACUCAAGCAGCAGUGUGUACCAUUGUCCUUCUGCUUCCAUCCUCGUGGUAUCUGUCCGUCUCCUCCUUCCUCUCUGCAGAUGUUGAAUAAUGCUGGAGAAAGGAUUGUGGUUGAAUGGAGUUUGCCACUAAGGGCUCUGGAGAACUGAAAGGAAGGAUCUGAGACAUAGCAGGACAUCUUUUUUAAUUUCUACUGUCUCCUGGCGGUGAAGUAACGUACAAUGCCAGUAAAUAAUAAGAUUCUGCAAUAAUUUGUCCUUCAGUGACACAGAACCUUUCCUUCAAAGUUGCUCAAUAUGCCAUUUUCUUUCUCAUGCUUUUGUUGUGAUACUAUAUUGAAUUUCUGUUUCCUCCCCACUUCCAAUUAACGCAAGAUGAGCCUUUUUUCAAAGGCCCUGUGGGAGUUAGGCACCCAUUUCUCAGCAAUUUUCCAUCUGACCUGGCACCAAAUUUACUUAGACAAUUCCUGAAAUCUCACUCGUAGAGUUUGAUCGUUAACUAAAGAGUCCUCAUUGGAAACUAUGAUUAUUACAAAGGUUACCGGCAAUAAACAUUACUUUGUUAUGUCUGUGACGUGUGUGCAGUUGAUUCAUAACAAUAAUGACACUUUUCACCUAGGUAGCUCUUUUCAUCUGAACUGAAGGAUGAGAGUCAAUAUUUCCAUUUUUCUGGUCUUUCAUAUAAAUCUCUGCAUUUGUCAUUGACAAAUGAAAGAGCUUCAGAAAUGUUUUCCCCAUCAUUUGUCUCUUGGAACAUAAACCAAACAAGGAAAGUUCACGUUGUAUCACAAAGAGUAGGAAAAAAACCCGAGUUUGUUGGCUCAGAGAACUUAGCAAUGGCAGAUAUGAUGAAAUAGCUGGGGGACAUGCUGGGCCCCACACUAAGUGUAAUGGAAGGCAUGCAGUCAGUGCGUGGACCGAAACGCCCUUUCUAGGUCCUGGGGCACCAUAUGUGGGCCUUAAUAGCAUAGCCUGCCCCUUGCCUUUCAAUGCUAUGGUAUGUAGAUAAUAGGGUUUUUCUUGUGCACUCUCCAUGUAUUCACUCAAAAUCAGCAUGUAACAGUGAAUCAUUGUGACAUGAUGUUCCUUUUUCAAGCACAGUGAGAAAGAUAUUUUCCAGAUAGAGUUCAGUUUGUUUUCUUUUAUGUGUGAUGGGAACCACACUUGGUAUUUACAGACUUUUAACAUUUCCUCACAACCACAACUAUUCGGGCUUUUACUACAUGUGAAUCAAAGGUGUCUGACAAAAUCCUUCGUCAGCAAGAAGCCAGGUAAAAGGAGGAGUAAGUGCAGGAGAAGCUCUCUGGGUAAGGACGCUGCUAUGUACUUCCUAUGCCACCUAUUCUGUUUUCUUCCCUUUGCACAGCAAAAAUAUAGUAAUAGAAAGUUCACAAGUAGGAU